CAUCUGUCUCUAGACCGCAGCUGACCACAGGAAACUGAAACCAUGGAAAGCGAAACCAUGAAUACAAGACAAUGAAUGAACACAUAGCUGCAUGAGUGCAUAUCAACAUGAAAUUUGACGUCACCAUGUGGAGAGUAUCCAGAAAGCUUUCAGAGGUUGGGAGAUAGAGGCCACAGGCAAAUGGCUGAAAACCCCAAUGGCAUCAAGAUGUUCAAAGCAAGGAAACUACUGGAACGUGUGCACUAUAAAAAUGAUGAGGAAAAUAAGACACACAGCUAGGGAAAAAGAGGGUAAACCUGAGAGAGGAGUAACAAUGUCUCAGGUCACCAGAUUGGAGCAGAAAGAUGGAGGGUGGAAGGACCAAAGUCUACAGAAAAAGAAAAUUGAUGGGUUACCUGAUGUUCUGAACAUUUGGAAAACAACAUUCAUUUGCUAGAUCUUGAAGCAUUUGAAAAAAAAAUAGUAAGUAUAUACAAAUCAAGCAAACCACAGGAAAGACAAUGAUCAAUGCUGAGACAGGUUGUCUAAAGAAAGAAA